rnacentral:misc_RNA from 1 species
GAUGAAGAACGUAGCGAAAUGCGAUACGUAAUGUGAAUUGCAGAAUUCAGUGAAUCAUCGAAUCUUUGAACGCAUAUUGCGCUCUCUGGUAUUCCGGAGAGCAUGCUUGUUUGAGUAUCAGUAAACACCUCAACUUCCAUAUCUUUUUUGAAAUGGGAGUUGGACUUAAGUGAUCCCAACGCUUUUCCUCACCGAAAAGUGGCGGGUUACUUGAAAUGCAGGUGCAGCUGGACUUUUCUCUGAGCUAUAAGCAUAUCUAUUUAGUCUGCCUAAAAAACAGAUUAUUACCUUUGCUGCAGCUAACAUAAAGGAGAUUAGUUCUUGUGCUGACUGAUGCAGGAUUCACAAAGACGGCUUCGGCCGACUUUGUAAACUCGAUCUCAAAUCAAGUAAGACUACCCGCUGAACUUAAGCAUAUCAAUAAGCGGAGGA